rnacentral:tRNA from 1 species
CAGAAAAUAGUUUAAAUAAAAUAUUAAUUUUGGAGAUUAAAGAUAAUAAGAACUUAUUUUUUCUGA